rfam:Gossypium hirsutum cultivar TM-1 unplaced genomic scaffold scaffold288.1, whole genome shotgun sequence
ACGACCUAACCUGAACAGGAUUUGUUCUAUAGGCUCGUACCUCUGUAUCCUUUAGCUCAAAGGAGACAGGAAUUCUAGUCUGGUUGGUGAAGUGAGAAUGUGUGAUCAGAGCGUGAUUAUUGGUCCAAUGAUGCCCCUUUGUUGCCUCACCUUCACCGCAGAUGAUCGUUCCUAAAUCUUCGAUACACAUAUGUGAGAUCAAGAAUUCUCACUAUUUUUUAGAUU